ensembl:ncRNA B0222.10 ncRNA
UUCUCCUUUCCCCAAUUCUAUAGACAGUCCCUUACUUCCCUUUCCCUUAUUCUAUUUAAUAAAUAUUUGGUUGGAACAACUGAGUAGUUAUUUUCUUCCUUGUCCUCCUACCGUCAGGACAAAGUGGUGACCCAGCUUAAUCUGCAAUCUUCACGAUCUACACGAUGAGGAUGCCGUCUUUUCAGCGGUGCUGACAAAGUGGCAACCCAUCGUAGGGUGCAGUACAACCUGAAGCUCAACUUGUUAUUUUAUUCCUACUACGUCAAACGAAGUUGUGCAAAUCUUUUAAUAUCGUCUUUUACAACGGCAAAGCAGAUGCUGUAUUGGAACGACCUGAAUACUGUAGGAAUAGUUGCUGAUACAAUUUGGAAAUAUUAUGCGGAUCAAUACAAAAGACUCAUCAGUUAUUCAAUGAAUCAGACAUGUUGAUAGCUUAUCAAAUACUUGCUCAAUCAAGGAGAAGUAUCGACCUUCAUCAGACUACAUGAAGGAUGGACUCCACAAAGCAUGGAGUGCCCAUAGUUUUGGAGAGCAGCAUGCGAAUACCUGCAGUCUCAAUUAGUUAAUCGUUUACAAUAAUCAAAGGCGAGGCAACAUGAAUACAUUCAUCAUUUUGAUGCAGAUACUACUAACGGAAAUAUACUUUCGGCACUUUCCAAGAAAUAUUCUUAACUACUAUCACUGUUUCAAUUUCUUCCAUCUUUGGCGCCCUCCCGAGCCCCGACAAUUCUCAUUAUCGGAUUUUACUUCGACGAUUUCAAGAAGAGCAUUCAAAGAUCAGAUUCAAUCCACUACUACAUGCAGCUUCUGUUAUCAGGAUUUUCGACAUACACAUUAAUUUAUUUAAUAAUUUCGUGACUUUUUUGUUAGUAAUUUUCCUCUACAUUUUCUUAAUUUAUUAUGUUACCUUCUUCGUCUUCCCUUUCGGUCCCCUCCGAGUGUCGCAUUGGAUGCGAUUCUUCAAAAUUAUUAUUUCCCGUUCCCAUCUUGGUUGACUCACAAAUUUUAUGUUCCCAUUCCCAUACAUAUUUUUAUUACCAUAUUCCCCUGAGUAGUUAUUUUUCUUCCUUGUCCUCCUACCGUCAGGACAAAAACAUGGCCGUUUCAAAAUAACAUAUACAUAGG